rnacentral:rRNA from 1 species
CGGCGGACGGGUGAGUAACGCGUGGGUAACCUGCCUCAUACAGGGGGAUAACAGUUAGAAAUGACUGCUAAUACCGCAUAAGACCACGGUACCGCAUGGUACAGUGGUAAAAACUCCGGUGGUAUGAGAUGGACCCGCGUCUGAUUAGCUAGUUGGUGAGGUAACGGCCCACCAAGGCAACGAUCAGUAGCCGACCUGAGAGGGUGACCGGCCACAUUGGGACUGAGACACGGCCCAG